UUUCUUACAUUAAAAAGACUUAAAAGUUGAAAUUCCUAAGGCGAGCUCAGGGAGGACAGAAACCUCCCAUGGAGCAGAAGGGCAAAGGCUCGCUUGAUCUUGAUUUUCAGUAAGAAUACAGACUGUGAAAGCUCGGCCUCACGAUCCUUCUGAUCUUUUGGGUUUUAAGCAGGAG
rnacentral:ncRNA from 1 species